rnacentral:tRNA from 1 species
GCCUCCGUAGCUCAACUGGAUAGAGCUUCCGGUUUCUACCCGGAUGGUUGCGGGUUCGACUCCUGCCGGGGGCG